GACGGGGGGAGCUAGCGUUGUUCGGAAUAACUGGGCGUAAAGGGCGCGUAGGCGGUUUUAUAAGUUAGAUGUUAAAGACCUGGGCUCAACCUGGGGGGUGCAUUUAAGACUGUAAGACUAGAGACCAAGAGAGGAAAAUGGAAUUUCCGGUGUAGAGGUGAAAUUCGUAGAUAUCGGAAGGAACACCAGAGGCGAAGGCGAUUUUCUGGCUUGGAACUGACGCUGAGGCGCGAAAGCGUGGGGAGCGAAUAGG
rnacentral:rRNA from 1 species